GGACGAACGCUGGCGGCGUGCUUAACACAUGCAAGUCGAGCGGUAAGGCCCUUUCGGGGGUACACGAGCGGCGAACGGUGAGUAACACGUGGGUGACCUGCCUUUAGCUCCUGGGAUAAGCCUGGGAAACUGGGUCUAAUGCCGGAUACGACUCCGCGGUGCAUGCUGUGGGGUGGAAAGCCUUGUGCGGCUGGAGAUGGGCCCGCGGCCUAUCAGCUUGUUGGUGGGGUGAUGGCCACCAAGGCGACGACGGGUAGCCGGCCUGAGAGGGCGACCGGCCACACUGGGACUGAGACACGGCCCAGACUCCUACGGGAGGCAGCAGUGGGGAAUCUUGCGCAAUGGGCGAAAGCCUGACGCAGCGACGCCGCGUGAGGGAUGACGGCCUCGGUUGUAACC
rnacentral:rRNA from 1 species